GAUGAACGCUGGCGGCGUGCCUAAUACAUGCAAGUCGAGCGAAUGGAUUAAGAGCUUGCUCUUAUGAAGUUAGCGGCGGACGGGUGAGUAACACGUGGGUAACCUGCCCAUAAGACUGGGAUAACUCCGGGAAACCGGGGCUAAUACCGGAUAAUAUUUUGAACUGCAUGGUUCAAAAUUGAAAGGCGGCUUCGGCUGUCACUUAUGGAUGGACCCGCGUCGCAUUAGCUAGUUGGUGAGGUAACGGCUCACCAAGGCAACGAUGCGUAGCCGACCUGAGGGGGUGAUCGGCCACACUGGGACUGGGACACGGCCCAGACUCCUACGGGAGGCAGCAGUAGGGAAUCUUCCGCAAUGGACGAAAGUCUGACGGAGCAACGCCGCGUGAGUGAUGAAGGCUUUCGGGUCGUAAAACUCUGUUGUUAGGGAAGAACAAGUGCUAGUUGAAUAAGCUGGCACCUUGACGGUACCUAACCAGAAAGCCACGGCUAACUACGUGCCAGCCGCCGCUGUAA
rnacentral:rRNA from 1 species